rnacentral:rRNA from 1 species
AACGAACGCUGGCGGCAUGCCUAACACAUGCAAGUCGAACGAGACCUCCGGGUCUAGUGGCGCACGGGGGCGUAACGCGUGGGAACCUGCCCUUAGGUUCGGAAUAACUCCCCGAAAGGGGUGCUAAUACCGGAUAAUGUCUUCGGACCAAAGAUUUAUCGUCUUUGGAUGGGCCCGCGUUGGAUUAGCUAGUUGGUAGGGUAAAAGCCUACCAAGGCGACGAUCCUUAGCUGGUCUGAGAGGAUGAGCAGCCACACUGGGACUGAGACACGGCCCAGACUCCUACGGGAGGCAGCAGUGGGGAAUAUUGGACAAUGGGCGAAGUCCUGAUCCAGCAAUGCCGCGUGAGUGAUGAAGGCCUUAGGGUUGUAAAGCUCUUUUACCCGGGAUGAUAAUGGCAGUACCGGGAGAAUAAGCUCCGGCUAACUCCGUG